GUCAGGAUGGCCGAGCGGUCCAAGGCGCUGCGUUCAGGUCGCAGUCCGGUCUUCCGGGCGUGGGUUCGAAUCCCACUUCUGUCA
rnacentral:tRNA from 1 species